rnacentral:lncRNA from 1 species
AACAAACCCGGAGGAAUAUUGAUGAGAAAGAAAACGGCAUAGGGUUGGGAGUAUCUGUACACACAAUGAUACACCAGUUUCUUGCUGGUGGAGAUGAAACCAGUGAAUCAGAUGCAACCCAGACUAAGAUCAGCAAACACAGUGAUGUCAGCUUCAUGGGGUGAGUUACUUUGACAAUUCCCAGGAAAUGAUGGCUAACUGGGCCACCGCUUUGUCCCUGCCCAACUGUAGAGAGUGUAUGUUUAUGUGGACUUUUAUCCUCAGCUCCACUCUGAGUACUAAAGAUAGUUCUGCACCACGGUUUAUUCUCCAUGUAGUGUUUUGUUUUGGCUUUUUUUGGUACCAGGGAUUGAACUCCGGACCUUGCGCUUUCGAGGCAGGCACCAGAACCACUGAGCUAAAUCGCCAGCCCCCACAGUUUAUUCUCUAUAAGGACAAAAUGGGGAGCAACUUGGAUUGUGACCUAAAGUUCUUGUCUGCAGAUGGAUUCUGUGAGGAAAUCAAGGUGUGGUUCUGGGAUCAAAAUCAUUGAGAGGAACAAUGUGAGUCACCAUUCUGUCUGGGAGGCAGCCAAGUAUCUCGUUAAUAGGCAAGUGUACCUGCAAAUACAUCAAAAUGUAUGAUUUAAAAAGCAGAAGACACCACCACGCCUCUGAUUUCUUGGUGUGGUGGUGGGGGUUGCGGAUUCGCUUGGUACCUCACAAACUGAGCUCUGUGGAGCCCUAGUAUUUGUUCCUCAGAGAUGUCUGAGGCCUCCCAGGAGCACCCAGCCCCUAUUUCAACCACAGCAGCUCCACCUGCAUCUGUUUUAUGUAUUAUUGCAACUGUAGGAAUAAAGUACCUGUAGAUGGAAAGGGGCCAGAACUAUAGGCCCUCAACUCAAAACGUAAUCAACUUCUUCUUGAAGAAGAAGCUCAAAGCCCCUCUUUUUGUAAUUACAGGUUCUGCUAUUAAAAUAUUAUACCCUUUCCUUUCAUUCAUGACAAAUCCAAAUGAAUGCAACUUGGCAAGCAACAGGAAGGGGAAUGAAUACAUUAAAUUAAUUCUUGUGCUGACUAUUAAUGUAGUGCUACAAAAAGGUAUGUGCUUUGCAGAUUCAAGGCAGUUAAAGAAAAUAUUUUAUCCUUCUUGGUAAUUUACACAGCACCCUCUCUGAGAAGUACUUUUCUUGAGGCAGAUGUAUGAAUUUACCCCAACAGGCAGGCCCACCAUGAUUGACUUCUCCACUAAUCAAGGUGCUUAGAGCACACAAUAUUUUCAGGGACCCAUGAAAAUGCUUUAACUUUCAUUUCUGU